UCUAUCCAGGCAUUCCGGCCUAGGAGCCCCUCCCACUGCCCCCUCUGCACCCCACAGAAGCAGCCAGGGACACCUUCCAGGGAGGGGCUGCUGGGCUAGGCUCAGAGGCCAGAGGCUGACAGCAGAGAUCAGGUCUCCUGUAUGCCCUGGAUGGAGCCAAAGGACAUGGUCCUGCUCUGGAUCUAGAAGCUGGAGGCAGUCACGAAGCUGCUUCAUUACCACUGAGCUGAGCAAAUGCCUUUCUCUUCCGGGCUUUAUUUCCUCUUUCACCUGAUUAACCCUCGGGGUUGCUUUCUCAAAGAAGCUUCUGGACUCCUCUGGCUGGAAGGAGCACCUCUGCUGAGUUCACACACAUUCUUGGUCUGUUGCUUCAUCUUAGCACCUGUUGCCAUGUUAUCCUUGCGAAUGUAUUCAUCCCUCUCCCCUGCCUGCCUCAACAUUCUAGAGGGGCGUAAGCUGUUCAUGUCUUUCCUGUGUCCUCAGUGUCCAGUUCAGAGCUGGGUACAGUAGAAACCUGAGUGUUAACUGAAUGAUUGAAUGGCCCAUACCCAGGAUAGACAGAAUAUUGGAAAAAGAAGACAUGGACAGAAUAAAAGUGAUUUCAUCUA